AUGGAAGUAAAAGUCGUAACAAGGUUUCCGUAGGUGAACCUGCGGAAGGAUCAUUAAUAAAUUUUUUUUUGAAAUAAAAAAAAAAAUAAUAAUCAUCCUACCCUUUGUGAAUUUGUUUUGUUGAAUAAUUUUUUAAAAUUAUUUAUUGUCUAUCCAAGUUGGAAAGUUGUAAAAAGACUAUAAGACUUGGAGCGGCAUAAAUAAAUUUUAAAGACUUUUUUCUAAAAUUAAACUUUUUGUAUUCAUUUGUCUAAAAUAAUUUUUAUAAUAUAUAAAAUCAACUUUUGACAAUGGAUCUCUUGGUUCUCGCAACGAUGAAGAACGCAGCAAAAUGCGAUAAGUAAUGUGAAUUGCAGAAUACGUGAAUCAUCGAAUCUUCGAACGCAUAUUGCACUUUUUUAGUUUACUAAAAAAGUAUGUCUGUUUGAGUAUCAGUAAAAUAUUCUCAUAAAAUUUUUUAAUUUUAUGGUUAUGAGUGUUUUACAACGAUAAACAAGUUGUUUCACUUUAAAUUGAAUUUUUUUGAAGAAAUUCUUUAAUUCAAAUUAAAUUUGGAUAAAAUUUUCCCGUAAAAAGGAAUAACUAUACAAGUUUAAUAAGAAUUUAGUGAUUUCUUUUAUGAAAAGGAAAUUUAUUAAAUAACUUGAUCUCAAAUCAGAUAAGAGUACCCGCUGAACUUAAGCAUAUCAAUAAGCGGAGGAAAAGAAACUAACAAGGAUUCCCCUAGUAACGGCGAGUGAAGCGGGAAGAGCUCAAAUUUGAUAUCUUAAAGGGUUUCCCUUUACGAAUUGUAGUUUAAAGAAGUGUUUUCUGUUGAGGUUUUGGUAAAAGUUCUUUGGAAUAGGACAUCAUAGAGGGUGAGAAUCCCGUAUUUGACCUUUACUUUCAACUUUGUGAUACACUUUCAAAGAGUCGGAUUGUUUGGGAAUGCAGUCCAAAAUGGGUGGUAAAUUUCAUCUAAAGCUAAAUAUUGGCGAGAGACCGAUAGCGAACAAGUACCGUGAGGGAAAGAUGAAAAGAACUUUGAAAAGAGAGUUAAACAGUACGUGAAAUUGUCAAAAGGGAAGCGUUGACACCAGUGUUGUUUUUCUGAAAAUCAAUUAAAGAACUGUUUAUGCUAAGCUGUUUAGACUUUAUCAGCUAACUGUUUAGUUUUGAGCUUUUCUUUAAUGCACUUUUCAGUUAACAAGUCAACAUCAAUUUCUUUUGCUGUAAAAAAGCUUGAGGAAGGUGGCUUGAGAUUCGUCUUAAGUGUUUAUAGCCUCUUGCCUAUGCAGUCGGAGAGAUUGAGGUCUGCAGCGUAGAUCCUUCGGGGCUAAAUGCAUUUGUGCUAAGUUAUAACAUUUUAUAGACAACUUGUUGACUAUGAUUUGUAUUGUAGCUUACUCGCUUAUGUUAUUUUACCUACGCUUAGGAUGUUG
rnacentral:misc_RNA from 1 species